UGCUUUCGUGAACUGCCCACGAUCAAUACUGCAAGCAAGAGCAACCGCAGCGCCGAUAACCAACAGCUUUGGUAUGUUUGUAUCUAUUCCUCCUGGUUUCUCUUGAUGGACUCUCAUUUGGGUCUGGGUCACAUCUUCAUCGGAUUCAGAUUCUAAACGGGCCAAGUAGUCUUGAUUGAUUUUGGUACUCAUUCGAGCCAUGGUUACAUGGUGCGACACCGUCUCUGAACAAGCUCGUUCCUUUUGGUACCAACGUAAACCUCGCUCGAUCUUUUUCGCUGGUCUGCUCCUGCUUCUGGUCUGAGUCAACCAUUUGACUCAUGACCACUGGUCCAUCAAAUACACAAUCACUAAACCCAGCCCACCUGGGUCUCCACACCCAUCCAACCACAAUCCCAAUCAAGAAACCAAUUAAAACCAAACCCAAAAUCAC
rnacentral:lncRNA from 1 species